CCUACGGGCGGCAGCAGUGGGGAAUAUUGGACAAUGGGGGCAACCCUGAUCCAGCCAUGCCGCGUGUGUGAAGAAGGCCCUCGGGUUGUAAAGCACUUUCAGUGAGGAAGAACGCCUGGUGGUUAAUACCCAUCAGGAAAGACAUCACUCACAGAAGAAGCACCGGCUAACUCCGUGCCAGCAGCCGCGGUAAUACGGAGGGUGCGAGCGUUAAUCGGAAUUACUGGGCGUAAAGCGCGCGUAGGUGGCUUGAUAAGCCGGUUGUGAAAGCCCCGGGCUCAACCUGGGAACGGCAUCCGGAACUGUCAAGCUAGAGUGCAGGAGAGGAAGGUAGAAUCCCCGGUGUAGCGGUGAAAUGCGUAGAGAUCGGGAGGAAUACCAGUGGCGAAGGCGGCCUUCUGGACUGACACUGACACUGAGGUGCGAAAGCGUGGGUAGCAAACAGGAUUAGAUACCCCUGUAGUC
rnacentral:rRNA from 1 species